GCUGGCGGCGUGCUUAACACAUGCAAGUCGAACGAUGAAGCCUUUCGGGGUGGAUUASUGGCGAACGGGUGAGUAACACGUGGGCAAUCUGCCCUGCACUCUGGGACAAGCCCUGGAAACGGGGUCUAAUACCGGAUAAUACCUUCCCUCGCAUGGGGGUGGGUUCAAAGCUCCGGCGGUGCAGGAUGAGCCCGCGGCCUAUCAGCUUGUUGGUGAGGUAGUGGCUCACCAAGGCGACGACGGGUAGCCGGCCUGAGAGGGCGACCGGCCACACUGGGACUGAGACACGGCCCAGACUCCUACGGGAGGCAGCAGUGGGGAAUAUUGCACAAUGGGCGAAAGCCUGAUGCAGCGACGCCGCGUGAGGGAUGACGGCCUUCGGGUUGUAAACCUCUUUCAGCAGGGAAGAAGCGAAAGUGACGGUACCUGCAGAAGAAGCGCCGGCUAACUACGUGCCAGCAGCCGCGGUAAUACGUAGUGCGCAAGCGUUGUCCGGAAUUAUUGGGCGUAAAGAGCUCGUAGGCGGUCUGUCGCGUCGGAUGUGAAAGCCCGGGGCUUAACCCCGGGUCUGCAUUCGAUACGGGCAGACUAGAGUGUGGUAGGGGAGAUCGGAAUUCCUGGUGUAGCGGUGAAAUGCGCAGAUAUCAGGAGGAACACC
rnacentral:rRNA from 1 species